rfam:Peptococcaceae bacterium SCADC1_2_3 contig_76, whole genome shotgun sequence.
GUUUCAAUUCCUCUUAGGCAGGCUAAAAAC